UACGAAGGGGGCUAGCGUUGCUCGGAAUGACUGGGCGUAAAGCGUGCGCAGGCGGUGAUGUAAGACAGUUGUGAAAUCCCCGGGCUCAACCUGGGAACUGCAUCUGUGACUGCAUUGCUGGAGUGCGGCAGAGGGGGAUGGAAUUCCGCGUGUAGCAGUGAAAUGCGUAGAUAUGCGGAGGAACACCGAUGGCGAAGGCAAUCCCCUGGGCCUGCACUGACGCUCAUGCACGAAAGCGUGGGGAGCAACAGG
rnacentral:rRNA from 1 species